UACGUAGGGGGCAAGCGUUGUCCGGAUUUAUUGGGCGUAAAGAGCUCAUAGGCGGUUGGGCAAGUCACGUGUGAAAUCUCCACGCUCAACGUGGAGGCGCCACGUGAGACUGCCCUGACUCGAGUCCGGUAGGGGAGCGUGGAAUUCCUGGUGUAGCGGUGAAAUGCGCAGAUAUCAGGAGGAACACCGGUGGCGAAGGCGGCAUGCUGGACCUCAACUGACGCUGAGGCGCGAAAGCCAGGGGAGCAAACGGG
rnacentral:rRNA from 1 species